rnacentral:lncRNA from 1 species
GGGCGGAGGAAAGAGGGGAGACAAUUAGCGCUACUCGUCCUCGACCUCAGUUAAGCCAAGUGUGGAGACUGGGAGGCGUGGUGGCGCUUCUCCGCCAGCAGCGGUUCGCGUCGGGCUUGCUCUACUAGACGAAUCCAACCAGUUUUCUGUGAGCAAUCCUGUAAUGGUGACACUGAGGCUGGCAAUCUGCUCAAGAUCUGUGCACGUGUUGCACUGGAAUGUGUUCUAGGUAGCUUCUUCUGAGAAAUGCUGAUCGACUACUCUGAAGCUGGAACUUGAUCAUGCUUACGAAGAAAGUCUCUCAGAUGUAGAG